rnacentral:tRNA from 1 species
AAUGAAGUGCCUGACUAAAGGAUUAUCUUGAUAGGAUAAAUAAAGUAGAUAAAUUUACCUUCAUUA